GUUAAAUGAAUGAUUGGAGUUGUAUAUUAUUUUUUUUAAAUAUUGGAAAGGUUAUACAUAGUUCUAUGUUUGUUUUUAAAUGUUCAUCUUCAAUUCCACCUUUGAGAUCUAGAAACGGUAGUAAUGGCUAAUGUUUAGCUUAAUGCAUAUAAUACCAAACAUGUCAGCACCUUGAUAAUCCAUCACUGGACAGUAUUAAUACAAUUCAAAGACAUACUGUUUCUUUUCUCACGGUAAAGUUUCUGAGACCACUCGGUAUCAAUUCAGUGGUUACUUCGGUCAACAGGCUGAAACAAUAUCCAUUAGCUUAAGUGUGUAGGGCACUGCUAAUUCAAUCG